rnacentral:rRNA from 1 species
UACGUAGGUGGCAAGCGUUGUCCGGAUUUACUGGGCGUAAAGGGCGUGCAGGCGGUUUGUUAAGUGCAGGGUGAAAGCUCCCGGCUCAACUGGGAGAGGUCCUUGCAUACUGGCAAACUCAAGGGAGGCAGAGGAAAGUGGAAUUCCCGGUGUAGUGGUGAUAUGCGUAGAUAUCGGGAGGAACACCUGUGGCGAAGGCGGCUUUCUGGGCCUUACCUGACGCUGAGACGCGAAAGCGUGGGGAGCGAACCGG